GCCCCAGUAGCUCAGCCUGGUUAGAUCGCAUCCUUGGUAAGGAUGAGGCCGCGGGUUCAAGUCUCGCCUGGGGCUCCA
rnacentral:tRNA from 1 species